ACUUAAAUAGCUUAUGUAGAGUAUAAUAUUGAAGAUAUUAUGGAAAUAGAAAUUAUUUUUAAGUA
rnacentral:tRNA from 1 species